UACGUAGGGUGCGAGCGUUGUCCGGAAUUAUUGGGCGUAAAGAGCUUGUAGGCGGUUUGUCGCGUCUGCUGUGAAAUUUCGGGGCUCAACCCCGAACUUGCAGUGGGUACGGGCAGACUAGAGUGUGGUAGGGGAGACUGGAAUUCCUGGUGUAGCGGUGAAAUGCGCAGAUAUCAGGAAGAACACCCGUGGCUAAGGCGGUUCUCUAGUACGGUACUGACGCUGAGGAGCGAAAGCGUGGGGAGCAAACAGG
rnacentral:rRNA from 1 species